rnacentral:rRNA from 1 species
AGUGAACGCUGGCGGUAGGCCUAACACAUGCAAGUCGAACGGCAGCACAGUAAGAGUUUGCUCUUACGGGUGGCGAGUGGCGGACGGGUGAGGAAUAUAUCGGAAUCUACUUUUUCGUGGGGGAUCACGUAGGGAAACUUACGCUAAUACCGCAUACGACCUACGGGUGAAAGCAGGGGAUCUUCGGACCUUGCGCGAUUGAAUGCGCCGAUGUCGGAUUAGCUAGUUGGCGGGGUAAAGGCCCACCAAGGCGACGAUCCGUAGCUGGUCUGAGAGGAUGAUCAGCCACACUGGAACUGAGACACGGUCUAGACUCCUACGGGAGGCAGCAGUGGGGAAUAUUGGACAAUGGGCGCAAGCCUGAUCCAGCCAUACCGCGUGUGUGAAGAAGGCCUUCGGGUUGUAAAGCCCUUUUGUUGGGAAAGAAAAGCAUCAGGUUAAUACCCCGCUGUUCUGACGGUACCCAAAGAAUAAGCACCGGCUAACUUCGUG